CCAAAAUAAGCCUAACAUUUAGCCAACUUAUGAAUGCAAAAGAAAAGUUCUUGAAGGUAAUUAAAAGUGCUACUACAGUGAACAAAUGGAUGAUAAAGACUGUAAAACAUCCUUAUUGCUGAUAUGGAGAAUGUUUUAUUAGCCUGGAUAGAAAAUCAAACCAACUGGCCAGGCGCAGUGUCUCAUGCCUGUAAUCCCAGUACUUUGGGAGGCCGAGACGGGAGGAUCAUGAGGUCAGG